rnacentral:rRNA from 1 species
AACGAACGCUGGCGGCAGGCUUAACACAUGCAAGUCGAACGCGUGUAGCAAUACACGAGUGGCGCACGGGUGCGUAACGCGUAUGCAAUCUACCUUUUGCAGAGGGAUAGCCCAGAGAAAUUUGGAUUAAUACCUCAUAGUAUGUGAGAAUGGCAUCAUUUUCACAUUAAAGUCACAACGGCUAAAGAUGAGCAUGCGUCCCAUUAGCUAGAUGGUAAGGUAACGGCUUACCAUGGCGACGAUGGGUAGGGGUCCUGAGAGGGAGAUCCCCCACACUGGUACUGAGACACGGACCAGACUCCUACGGGAGGCAGCAGUGAGGAAUAUUGGACAAUGGGCGCAAGCCUGAUCCAGCCAUGCCGCGUGCAGGAUGACGGUCCUAUGGAUUGUAAACUGCUUUUGUACAGGAAGAAACACUCCCUCGUGAGGGAGCUUGACGGUACUGUAAGAAUAAGGAUCGGCUAACUCCGUGCCAGCCGCCGCCGUAAUAC